UUAAGCAUAUUAAUAAGCGGAGGAAAAGAAACUAACAAGGAUUCCCUCAGUAACGGCGAGUGAAGCGGGAAGAGCUCAAAUUUGAAAUCUCCGAUGCUUGCAUCGGCGAGUUGUAGUUGCGAGAAGCACUUUCUAGGCGGAUCGACGGUGCCUAAGUUGCUUGGAACGGCACGUCGCAGAGGGUGACAACCCCGUCUGUGGCGCCGCCGGCCGCCGACGAUGUGCUUUCGAAGAGUCGGGUUGUUUGGGAAUGCAGCCCAAAACGGGUGGUAAACUCCAUCUAAAGCUAAAUACUGGCGUGAGACCGAUAGCGAACAAGUACCGUGAGGGAAAGAUGAAAAGAACUUUGAAAAGAGAGUUAAAAAGUACGUGAAACCGUCGAAAGGGAAACGAAUGGACUCAGCAAUGCGCCCUCUGAGAUUCAGCCGGUGGGUGGCGGYGGCGCCGGGUUUGCGGAUCUGAAUGGACCGCGGCCUGGCGCCCGCCUCUCCCCGCCGUCGCACUUCUCUGGGGCGCGCGUCAACGUGGGUUGGGACUGGGUCUGAAAGGCGCCGGGAAGGUAGGUGUGGGCCUUCGGGUCCGUUCUGUUACAGCCCGGUUCUCUCAUGGCUCGGGCCCGACCGAGGAGCGACACGGGGCAUGCCUCCUGUGGCUAGGGUCCCGCCCUUCCGGCCGGCUGUCCAGUGCGGUGGACUGCUUGCAGUGCUCCGCGACGGCUGCCGGUCGUUGGGGUGGUGAUCUCGUACCAUGCCCCUAGGAUGUUGGCGGUCAUAUGGGUCC
rnacentral:rRNA from 1 species